UCACAAACACAAUCAAAGGAAAGAUACAAUGGCAAAUUUCUUCCCACUCCUAGGAGAUGAGGUCUUGAAGAUAGUCUUCUCCUAGAGGAGGUCUUGAAAUCCACUAGGAUUCUUCCCAACGGGGUCUUGAUUCCACAAGUGGGAAGGUAGAAGGAGCAAAGCUCACAAAUAUCUCAUCUCAUACUUUGCUAACCCUAAACAUAGCCCUAGGUACGAUUUAUAUAGUCUUGGGGUCGAAGUAGAUGAAGAGGGGCUCGGAUUGGGGAUCACAGCCGUCCAUCCUGGGAGGCUCAUGCGCACGGGGUAAGUUGGGCCCGUGCGCACGGGGAUCCCGUGGGCACAGUACAGGCCCGUGCGCAUGGGGUGCUCCAGCGUCAACUUCCUCGGUAGUCCAUGGGCACGGGGUCUCGGGGGCCCAUGCACACGGGGUCACCAGGGACUUCUAGUUUUGCUGCUGUUGCACUCCGUCUUGGUCCGCGUGGCCUUGGGGUGGUUCCUCUUCUGCUUGGGGGUGCUCCUGAGCCUCUUGGUGAUGUUCCUCUUCGUACCUAAUGAGACAGCGUAUCUUGGUGAGGUAGCAACAAUGUUCCAUUCAUAUCCAUAUGCAAGCUAAGUAGGAAGGAGUUCACCUAGGUUUCCAAAGCACGUGCUCUCGCUCUUGUCAUAGGUCCACGUGGGGCUUGAUGUGUCGGUGUAGAGUGCAUGGGGAUGAUGGAAGGAUGCUCCGCAUCAUCUCCCCCCCCCCCUAGGAGAGAUCCGUCCACAGAUCAUGAUCUUCAUCACCAUGGUACUUGGCCAAGUCUUUGACGUUGAAUGUGUCGUUCACAUUGUACUUGUCUUGUGGGAUGUCGACCUUGUAGGCGUUGUCGUUGUAGCGUGUGAGUACCUUGAAUGGGCCAUCGGCUCAUGGAAGUAGCUUGGACUUGCGCUCCUUGGGAAAAUGAUCCUUGCGAAUAUGUACCCAAACUAGGUCACCCGGUUGGAACACCAUUGGGGACGUGUUGGUGUUGCGCUUGGUUGCAAGUCGUUGUACUUGGCGCUCUAUGGUGUGCCUUGUAUCUUCAUGCAUCUUCUUGAGGUGAUUCACUCGGUCGCUCGCGUCCAUGUUGAUGCUCUCUUGUAGUGGUAGAGGAAGAAUGUCCAAUCGGGACAAUGGGUUGAAUCCAUAGACGACCUCGAAGGGGGACUUGCCGGUAGUCGAAUGUGUUGCAUGGUUGUAGGCGAACUCGGCGAUUGGGAGACACUCCUCCCACUCCUUGGGGUUGACGCGGUAGGGCGCUUUGUUUGGAAGCGGUGCUCUGGGGAUGAGGUCGAUGCGGUGCUCAAUGCCUCGUAGUGGAGGAAGUCCCAGAGGUAGCUCAUCGGGGAGAACAUCUUGGAAUUCCUGCAAUAAAUAAGAUAACACCAAGGGUAGAUUGUGAGAGGUGUUAGUUUUUUGUUCCUUGUCCUUGCACAAUAGGACAUAGUGUAGGACACUCGAUGGGUUCUCACACACUUCCCUCAUCUCGCUUUGGUGGCAAAUAGAACUAAGUUUUUCUUGUCGCUCAUUGUGGAGGCACUCAAUUUGGGCUUGUGGCGCUCACUCUCUUUUUGGUGGCUCACUCUCUCACCAUUCUCUCCAUGAUGGGUGGCUUGCUUAUCGGCGAUCACUUUGCUUGGAGACAUAGGUCGUAGCACAAACUCCUUUCCUUGCAUCUUGAAGCUAUAGUGGUUUGUACGCCCAUUGUGGACGACUCCUCUAUUGAAUUGCCAUGGCCGUCCAAGGAGAAGAUGACAAACGGUCAUUGGGAUGACGUCGCACUCCAAGGUGUCUUCGUAGGCGCCGAUUUUGAAGGAGACUUGUACUCGGUGCUCGACUUGGAUGGUGCCGGAGUCACUAAGCCAUUGCACUUUGUAUGGAUGUGGAUGCUUCGUCUUGGGCAAUUGGGGCUUGGAGCAAAGUUCUUCACUUGCGAGAUUAUGACAACUUCCUCCAUCGAUGAUGACCUUGACGGAUCAUUAAUUGAUGUCAGCCUUGGUUAGGAAUAUGUUGCAUCUUUGGUCUUCUUCUUGGUGAUGCUGAAGAGUCAAGACCUUGGAGACAACAAGAGCGGGACUUGAAUCUUCAUCGCAAAAUACUUGAUCAUCUUCGUCUUCGUUGUUCACUUGUCGGUGCAUGGCCACUUGCUCAAGGGCUUCCAUUUCUCCUUCACUCAUGGAGUCGUAGGUUCCGUCGUUGUUGAGGAUCAUGGUGCGCUUGUUUGUGCACUCGAAGGACUUGUGGCCUCGGCCUCCGCAUGUGAAACAUUUGAUGGAACUUGUCUUGAUGGUCUCAUCGGUCGGAGUAGAUGAUGAUGAAGCUUUCAGCUUGAAGUUGCUUGUAGUAGGAGGACGACUUGCGCUUGUCGAAGUCUUCUUGUAACUUGACUUGUCUCCGGUACUUGGUGAUGCCCUAGUUGAGGUAGGAGUUGCCGAAGUCGCGGGAGCUUGAUAUGAGGAGCCAUAGGUCUUGGACGAGUACUUGGCAUAUUUGAAGUCAUCUUGCACUUGGCGUUCCGCUUUGGUGGCUUGGUGCACUAGCUUGAUGAGAUUUGAGUAUGGUUGGAAGUCGGCGAUCUUCUUGAUGGGAUGGUUGAGGCCAUUCAAGAAGCAUGCCAUUGUUUGCUCAUCAUCUUAUGUGACAUUGGCUCUUAUCAUUGCAAUCUUCAUCUCCUUGUAGUAUUCUUCAACGCUCUUGGUUCCUUGCUUGAGUUGUUGGAGUUUCUUGAAGAGAUCGCGGUUGUAGUAGGUAGGUACGAAACGUGCUCUCAUGACAUCCUUCAUUUGCGCCAAGUAGUGAUGGGUGGAUCACCUCUUGCCUCUCGGCGCUCAAUGACUUGUUCCCACCAAAUAAGGACAUAGUCUUGGAACUCAAGGGAUGCCAUCGCGAUCUUCUUCUCUUCUUUAUAAUUGUGCAAACGGAAGAUCUUGCCAACUUUCAAUGCCGAUGAAAGGUACUCUUCGGGAUUGUUGCUUCCGUUGAACGUGGUCAUGGUGAACUUGAGCUUGUCGUAGCGUUGCUCUUCAUUGUAUUGGGGUCGGGGAUGAUGACGCCCAUGUUGUAGAUGAUUGUUCAACUCGUGGUGCUCUUGACACGGAGGGUUGUCAACCUCAUGUUGCUCUUGUCGUGGAAGAGUUCCAUUGUCUUCAUGCUCUCGAUGAACUUGAUGGUGUUGGCGAGCUUGUGGGGGAGCUUCGCAAGCUCGAGGAGGAACUUGACGAUGCACGUGAGCUUGAAAUCUUUGUUCUUGAAUUUCUUCGCGAAAUGCUUCCUCUUGUUCACGGGCUUGACGGCCUCGGUCGGCAACGGCUCGACUCUAAUAGUGUAGCGCUUGUUGUGCUGCCAGUGCUUGCUCGUCACGGAGUUGUUGUUCUUGACGUUGUGUCUCGGCAUCUUGUGCAUGUUGGUGUGGACAUGCGCUUCUUCCUCUUCAUGUUGGCGUUGUUGUUGCCGUUCUCGUGCUAGCGCAAAGGCUUCUUGGGUUUGACGUCGUUGAUGCUCUUGCGAGUCGGUGUCGCGUAGAGGAUUGAGGUUUGCGUGAUGCUCGUUGCGCGCGGCACGUCGAAAAGUGUUCGAAGACGGUGUACUUGAACCGGAGAUGGUGUCGUCGAGGUGUCGACGUGAGCGGCUCCGUCUUGAAGAGGACGAAGUUGUAGAAGAGCGAUUGACCAUCAUGGUUCGGAUAUCGUCUUUGAGGGAACUCAAUGAUGUGUCGAAGUAGUCCCUUGUACGUUGCUCGGAUUGUUGUAGGUCGGUGGCGAGAUUGUCGAUGCGGUCUCCCAAAGCAAGUUGUUCUUAAUGCAAAGCUCGAUGUGCGCCAAAGAGUUGCGACUUGGUGAUGAAGUUUGUCAUGUCGCCAUCUUGCUCAAGGAAGAGUGGGUUGGUAGAAGUACUUGGCCUAUCCAUCAUGAGAAAGUGGUGGUGAGUAGGAAAAAUGAGAGAACAAAACCAAAGUUACCUUUUUCGAAGAUUGUGGAUGUAACAAGUACGAUCUCACGAUGCUAUAAUAGGGGAAUUGGUACCGGGAAUUGUUUCUCACACCUACAAGUAAAAGGCUUAUGGAGUAGCUCGGUUAGGAUGGUGGCAAAAAUUUCAAGUAAAUGUUAGUCAAGAUAUCGAUAAGGUUGAGAAGAUUCACAAAAAUGCAAGUAAAAACAAAUAGAUCAAACCCAAUGAUAUCACUAGGAACACACACACGGAAGAUAGAUGGGAUCCGCACAACCAAGGGGUGAGCUCAAAAUGUGCAACCAUGGAAAAUGCUCUUGUUGUGCGAAUACUAGAGAGACGCUAGCUCGAUUGCUCAAAAGUGCUAGAUACGCAUGUGCACCAACCUAUAAGAGAAACGUGUCGUCUUCAAUCCCAACUAUGCUACGUAUGAGGUGUCGAAGAUGAUAUGCAAAAUGGCUCGAUGCUAUUGUUUACGAGCUCUUUGUAGCUCCUCUUUUGCUUAAAAGCUUCUCUUGUUUUUUUUGAAGCUAGAGCCAAGUAUGAUAUGAGACAAGUAUGUAAGAUAUGCACGGGAGAGACUUAUGGCACUAAGAUGGUAACAAGAUGACUAUGGUGCACAAUAGCGUGGCCCGGCAAUUCUCAACUUGCUAGUCUCGAUGGGUAAGCUACGCGAAAUGGCUCGAGUUAUCAAUGCAAAGGAAGGGUGAGAUGUCAUCGAGGUUACUGUCCGAUCUUAAGGUAAGAAUGAAGUUGUUGAAGCCGGUGUGGUGUCCGAGUUGAUGAUCGAGUGGCGGUGAUGAUGAUGUCCAAAUGCGCCUAAGUAGCCAAAACACCUUAGGACACAAGAGAAACCGCGGUCCGAAACUCAAACAACCACGAGAAGUAGUACGGGAGAACAUGAGUGCUGGUUUGGAAGCAAAAUGGUGCAAAACAAAAGAUGGCCAAAAGUUACUGGAUGCUCCAUGCGCACGGAGUAAGUGAGGCCCGUGUGCACGGGGUCUCGAGGGCCCGUGUGCACGGGGUGUGCUGGGAGCGGAAGAAAAGCUCCGGAUCCGUGGGGAUUUUCCAAAGUAAGGCAAUUUCGAGGAUUUGGAAGGUGGGGAAGCAGGAAGAUGGGUAGAUCCACUUGCCAAACUCCAAAUUCGUGGAUCAAAACAACCAAAUCUCACAAGAUCCAACAAAUUGCAAGAAAAAAAUUUGGGCUAUUUUUGUGGGGAUUUUUGAAUUUGGACGAAAAACAACAAAAUCAAGCUAGCAAAUGGGGGGAUGGGACUCCAAGAUGUGAAUCAACCUUGCUCAUGAUACCAAAAUGAUAUAGGAUGAAAUCCUAGAGGGGGAUCUUUUCACACUUGGAGGGGGAAAAGGGCAAACUCUCAAGAACACAAAGAGGAAGUCACUCAAACAAUUCCCCAAUUACACAUCCACUAGGAUAGCAACAUAAGAUCCACAAGUCACAAACACAAUCAAAGGAAAGAUACAAUGGCAAAGUUCUUCCCACUCCUAGGAGAUGAGGUCUUGAAGAUAGUCUUCUCCUAGAGGAGGUCUUGGAAUCCACUAGGAUUCUUCCCAAAGGGGCCUUGAUUCCACAAGUGGGAAGGUAGAAGGAGCAAAGCUCACAAAUAUCUCAUCUCAUACUUUGUUAACCCUAAACAUAUCCCUAGGUACGGUUUAUAUAGUCUUGGGGUCGAAGUAGAUGAAGAGGGGCU
rnacentral:lncRNA from 1 species